GUUUGAGCAUGGCUCAGAUUGAACGCUGGCGGCAGGCCUAACACAUGCAAGUCGAGCGGAUGAAGGGAGCUUGCUCCUGGAUUCAGCGGCGGACGGGUGAGUAAUGCCUAGGAAUCUGCCUGGUAGUGGGGGAUAACGUCCGGAAACGGGCGCUAAUACCGCAUACGUCCUGAGGGAGAAAGUGGGGGAUCUUCGGACCUCACGCUAUCAGAUGAGCCUAGGUCGGAUUAGCUAGUUGGUGGGGUAAAGGCCUACCAAGGCGACGAUCCGUAACUGGUCUGAGAGGAUGAUCAGUCACACUGGAACUGAGACACGGUCCAGACUCCUACGGGAGGCAGCAGUGGGGAAUAUUGGACAAUGGGCGAAAGCCUGAUCCAGCCAUGCCGCGUGUGUGAAGAAGGUCUUCGGAUUGUAAAGCACUUUAAGUUGGGAGGAAGGGCAGUAAGUUAAUACCUUGCUGUUUUGACGUUACCAACAGAAUAAGCACCGGCUAACUUCGUGCCAGCAGCCGCGGUAAUACGAAGGGUGCAAGCGUUAAUCGGAAUUACUGGGCGUAAAGCGCGCGUAGGUGGUUCAGCAAGUUGGAUGUGAAAUCCCCGGGCUCACCUGGGAACUGCAUCCAAAACUACUGAGCUAGAGUACGGUAGAGGGUGGUGGAAUUUCCUGUGUAGCGGUGAAAUGCGUAGAUAUAGGAAGGAACACCAGUGGCGAAGGCGACCACCUGGACUGAUACUGACACUGAGGUGCGAAAGCGUGGGGAGCAACAGGAUUAGAUACCCUGGUAGUCCCGCCGUAAACGAUGUCGACUAGCCGUNGGGAUCCUUGAGAUCUUAGUGGCGCAGCUAACGCGAUAAGUCGACCCGCCUGGGGAGUACGGCCGCAAGGUUAAAACUCAAAUGAAUUGACGGGGGCCCGCACAAGCGGUGGAGCAUGUGGUUUAAUUCGAAGCAACGCGAAGAACCUUACCUGGCCUUGACAUGCUGAGAACUUUCCAGAGAUGGAUUGGUGCCUUCGGGAACUCAGACACAGGUGCUGCAUGGCUGUCGUCAGCUCGUGUCGUGAGAUGUUGGGUUAAGUCCCGUAACGAGCGCAACCCUUGUCCUUAGUUACCAGCACCUCGGGUGGGCACUCUAAGGAGACUGCCGGUGACAAACCGGAGGAAGGUGGGGAUGACGUCAAGUCAUCAUGGCCCUUACGGCCAGGGCUACACACGUGCUACAAUGGUCGGUACAAAGGGUUGCCAAGCCGCGAGGUGGAGCUAAUCCCAUAAAACCGAUCGUAGUCCGGAUCGCAGUCUGCAACUCGACUGCGUGAAGUCGGAAUCGCUAGUAAUCGUGAAUCAGAAUGUCACGGUGAAUACGUUCCCGGGCCUUGCACACACCGCCCGU
rnacentral:rRNA from 1 species